UACGUAGGGGGCAAGCGUUGUCCGGAAUCAUUGGGCGUAAAGCGCGUGUAGGCGGUUCCGUAAGUCUGCUGUGAAAGUCGGAGGCUCAACCUUCGAAAGCCGGUGGAUACUGUGGAACUAGAGUGCGGAAGAGGCAAGUGGAAUUCCUGGUGUAGCGGUGAAAUGCGCAGAUAUCAGGAGGAACACCGAUGGCGAAGGCAGGUCUCUGGGCCACUACUGACGCUGAGAAGCGAAAGCAUGGGGAGCGAACAGG
rnacentral:rRNA from 1 species